rnacentral:rRNA from 1 species
AGUGAACGCUGGCGGUAGGCCUAACACAUGCAAGUCGAACGGCCGCACAGUAAGCGCUUGCUCUUACGGGUGGCGAGUGGCGGACGGGUGAGGAAUACAUCGGCAUCUACUUUUUCGUGGGGGAUAACGUAAGGAAACUUACGCUAAUACCGCAUACGACCUACGGCAGAAAGCAGGGGAUCUUCGGACCUUGCGCGAUUCAAUGAGCCGGUGUCGGAUUAGCUAGUUGGCGGGGUAAAGGCACACCAAGGCGACGAUGCGUAGCUGGUCUGAGAGGAUGAUCAGCCACACUGGAACUGAGACACGGUCCAGACUCCUACGGGAGGCAGCAGUGGGGAAUAUUGGACAAUGGGCGCAAGCCUGAUCCAGCCAUGCCGCGUGAGUGAAGAAGGCCUUCGGGUUGUAAAGCCCUGUUGUUGGGAAAGAAAAGCAGCAGGUGAAUACCCCGCUGUUCUGACGGUACCCAAAGAAUAAGCACCGGCUAACUUCGUG